UAUUUCUUUUCUUCUCUCGCACCUAUCUCGCAGCUGAACUCACCUCUUUCUCUUGUUUUUUUUUUCUCUCUGCAAAUUCUAACUAUAGCUCUCUAUCAGCCAUCUUCUUCUUCUUUUACAAUUGAUUCAGAACUGGAAGGUGAAAUAGAAGUCAAUAUCUCCAUCAUCUUCUUCUUCUAUAAUGGAUCCAGAUCCAGUCGCCUCCUUCUCCUGUAUUGUCCAUGAUAAAAUCCUUCUUGCGAUUAAUUAGGCUUCAGAGCUAUAUAAAAGGGGUCUAAAAGAACACAAGAAAAUCAUCCCUGUGCCCACAAAGAUCCUGCAUCUCAACUGUUUGUGAAAAGUUCUAGCUCUCAUCUAGCUUUCACAUCCUCCUUCAGUAGUAGAUAUAAUCAUUUCACAUUGUCUACAUUCCAUCCAUCACCAUCAGCUCUUCCAUCUCCCUUAGGAGUUUGAGUCAUCACAACUGCAUAUCACCUUCACCACCAGCUCGAGAAUUACCGCCACUUUCACAUCAUAUGCACCUACACCUUCAAAAUUUUGCAUCAUACCAUUCACAGCAUCACAAGUUCAACUGCACCGCCAUCUAAAACCAUUCGAUUCGUAGUUGCAGUCCUUGUUAUUAGCUUGCAGUUCAUACUCCACGGAAUCAUCUUUUGCAUCGACACCAUACACUUACCAGUUUUGAAGAGCACCACCAACACUUCAGUCCGCGACACCAGCUCCUCUCGCUAUCCAGCAUCACCACCAUUCGCAUCCACCAAUAUAGCACUAAGCCAGCUGCAGUCUACUUCGGGACAACUUACUGAUCUUAUCACUUCAAAUCCUUCGUCUUCCCCCGCAUUGAGUAGUUCAAUAUGCAAAUUUAUGGUCCGAGAAUCGAGCAGUCUCAUGAAACAAUGGUCUUUUAAUGGGAGGUGAGGACAUAUCAAAGGAGAAAGGAUUCUAGCGCUUGAAUGAUUGUUGAUGGAUCUACUGUUGGUGGUGGAAUAUGCUGGCGGUGUUUGUGACGCUGAUCUGAUGUUUGUGGUAGUGUUUGGAGGUGCAAGUAUUGAUGCUGCUGCUACCAGAAGGUGGUGGUGGUGGUCUCUUAAUAAUUACAUAAAGAGUGCUGUCAGUUAUGAAUCUUGCAGAUGGGUUAUGUAAUUCUCGAUUAAUUGCUUUGGUUAAUGUGUUAUAAAUUGGUACUGCAGGCAGGAUCACCGGUUUGUUGUUAAUGAAGUUAUUAGAAACCAUUUUUUUUAUGAAAUAGUAUGGUGUAUUUAUUUAUUUGGUUUAUUUGUAACUGGCAGCAAGCGGCAAAAAAAGGUGAUGUGAAAAUGAGACUUCAUUUUUUUGUUAGUUGUUUUAGCAAGGGCCUAAUUGUUUAGUAUUGAUUUGUUUUACACGGAUCAUAUAUUGUUGGUUAAUUGGUUUAAUACUGGUUGUUGAUUGCAUCUUUAAGGCUGCUAGAGGCAUGAUGAUAGGGUAUUGAGUUUAAUAAGUGAAGUAAUUACGUAUAUCUUUUGUUGGAUGUAAUCUGAUAGUGUUGUUCCGUUUAAUCGGUGCAGAGGGGAAGAACGAUUAGAGAGCCAGAAUCUGCCUUAUUAACCAUGACAAGAACAAUCAAAACACCUCUGAGUACCGUUUUGAUAUUCGUUUCACCUGUAAAGAUAUUAUGCAACUGCAGAAGUAUGACACAAAGGCAUCUCUGGAGUGUUGGUGCUAUCCCUUUUCAACUUGUAACUGAAAAUGCCCCAUUCAACAGAAAUAAUCCAAUUCAGGUUCGUUAAGCUACCUUUGGACUUGUGCUUGGAUGCUUGCAUAACUAGUAAAAAGUUAUCUCUCCUGCGUGCAAGGGUACUUGAUAGCCACUUUCACAUUAGCAUGGUGGUGACAGACCAGCAAGAUUUGGUGGUCCAAGAGGUGGAGCACCAGGAGAGUUCGGAGGAGUUAAGGGUGAUGCUCCAGCAAAGUAUCAGCCACAAUUUAAGGUAGUUCAGCUUUGUUUGAAAGAAGCAGAGAAACAAACUCGUGGUUCUGUUGUUUGAGACGGCUCCAGCGAAGAAAGUUGAGUCAGCAGCACAUUCUAAACAAGGGUAUUCAGAUUUUCCCUGGUUUUGAUGCUAAGUGCAGGUUUUAUUUCAUCGUAAUUAGGCAAUUUGAACAUGUAUGGAAACUUGUUUUUAAAUAAAUGGUCGUUUCAGUUUAUGAAUCAAUGUUCCAUUUCAUUAUAAUUUGAAUUUCAUUUUAGUCUA